GACCAGACUCCUACGGGAGGCAGCAGUGGGGAAUAUUGCACAAUGGGGGGAACCCUGAUGCAGCGACGCCGCGUGAGUGGAGAAGUAUUUCGGUAUGUAAAGCUCUAUCAGCAGGGAAGAAGAUGACGGUACCUGACUAAGAAGCCCCGGCUAACUACGUGCCAGCAGCCGUGGUAAUACGUAGGGGGCAAGCGUUAUCCGGAUUUACUGGGUGUAAAGGGAGCGUAGACGGCAGGGCAAGUCUGGAGUGAAAGCCCGGGGCCCAACCCCGGGACUGCUUUGGAAACUGUUAAGCUGGAGUGCAGGAGAGGUAAGUGGAAUUCCUAGUGUAGCGGUGAAAUGCGUAGAUAUUAGGAGGAACACCAGUGGCGAAGGCGGCUUACUGGACUGUAACUGACGUUGAGGCUCGAAAGCGUGGGGAGCAAACAGGAUUAGAUACCCCAGUA
rnacentral:rRNA from 1 species